UCCCUGGUGGUUCAAUGGCUAAGACUCCAUGCUCCCAACGCAGAGGUCCUGGGUUUGAUUCCUGGUCAGGGAA
rfam:TPA: Bos taurus chromosome 19, whole genome shotgun sequence.